CUUGUGUUUUCUUUAAUUUUCGAAGAUAAAUCUAGUGUUCCUGUGCCUUUGAAGUUUUAUUGCUGUCAGGAUUUCUCAUUCUCAUUCUAAAAUUAUCAAAAUCUUUUUGUUUCAGGAAAAGAUUAUAGAUGAACUCGGUAACGAGAUGGAUAGUACAUCAAACCGUCUAGAUUUUGUCCAAAAAAAAGUGGCAAUGGUUAUGAAGAAGGCCAGUGCAAAGGGCCAGAUCAUGAUGAUUUUGGGCUUGUUGGCUCUGUUCAUUUUCCUAUUUUUCUUAGUAUUCCUUACCUAGUUAGUGUUACUGUGCAGUCUGUGCUGUUUGUAUAUGGAAACUGGUCUCAUUUUUUAUGUGGAGAAUAGAGGAAAUAGACAUCUAUGAAGUCAAUGGAUCUUUGUAGAAAAUUCUUUAUAUGAUGGACAAAAGAGUGUAAUGUACUUCAUGAUUUAUAAUAGGAUUUUAACUCUAAUUAAUA